rnacentral:rRNA from 1 species
UACGUAGGUGGCGAGCGUUGUCCGGAUUUACUGGGCGUAAAGAGCGCGCAGGCGGUCGUUCAAGUCGCGUGUGAAAGCCCCCGGCUCAACUGGGGAGGGUCACGCGAUACUGAUCGACUCGAAGGCAGGAGAGGGAAGUGGAAUUCCCGGUGUAGUGGUGAAAUGCGUAGAUAUCGGGAGGAACACCAGUGGCGAAGGCGACUUCCUGGCCUGUUCUUGACGCUGAGGCGCGAAAGCGUGGGGAGCAAACGGG